AGUCGAGUUGUUUGGGAAUGCUGCUCAAAAUGGGAGGUAAACCCCUUCUAAAGCUAAAUAUUGGCCAGAGACCGAUAGCGCACAAGUAGAGUGAUCGAAAGAUGAAAAGCACUUUGAAAAGAGAGUUAAACAGCACGUGAAAUUGUUGAAAGGGAAGCGCUUGCGACCAGACUUGCGCCCGUCGGAUCAACCGUCGCUUGUCGGCGGCGCACUCCGGCGGGCUCAGGCCAGCAUCAGUUUUCCCGGGGGGAGAAAGGCGGUGGGAAUGUAGCUCCUAGGAGUGUUAUAGCCCGCCGCGUAAUACCCUCGGGGGGACUGAGGACCGCGCAUCUGCAAGGAUGCUGGCGUAAUGGUUGUCAGCGACCCGUCUUGAAA
rnacentral:rRNA from 1 species